CCCUUAUUAAGAGUGGCGGAGAUACAUAGGAUCUAUGAAGCCCGGCAACCCCUUGCAGACCAAUACCGGUGAAUUACGGUGAUGGGACAGGCAGAGGAAGGUGCCAACCUGAGCGGAUUUUCGGAAGAGUG
rnacentral:ncRNA from 2 species